rnacentral:rRNA from 1 species
UACGUAGGGUGCAAGCGUUAUCCGGGAUUAUUGGGCGUAAAGAGCUCGUAGGCGGUUUGUCGCGUCUGCUGUGAAAACUGGAGGCUCAACCUCCAGCCUGCAGUGGGUACGGGCAGACUAGAGUGCGGUAGGGGAGAUUGGAAUUCCUGGUGUAGCGGUGAAAUGCGCAGAUAUCAGGAGGAACACCGAUGGCGAAGGCAGGUCUCUGGGCCACUACUGACGCUGAGAAGCGAAAGCAUGGGGAGCGAACAGG